rnacentral:rRNA from 1 species
AUUGAACGCUGGCGGCAUGCCUUACACAUGCAAGUCGAACGGCAGCGGGGGAGAAGCUUGCUUUUCCUGCCGGCGAGUGGCGAACGGGUGAGUAAUACAUCGGAACGUGCCCUGUAGUGGGGGAUAACUAGUCGAAAGAUUAGCUAAUACCGCAUACGACCUGAGGGUGAAAGUGGGGGACCGCAAGGCCUCAUGCUAUAGGAGCGGCCGAUGUCUGAUUAGCUAGUUGGUGGGGUAAAGGCCUACCAAGGCGACGAUCAGUAGCUGGUCUGAGAGGAUGAACAGCCACACUGGGACUGGGACACGGCCCAGACUCCUACGGGAGGCAGCAGUGGGGAAUUUUGGACAAUGGGCGAAAGCCUGAUCCAGCAAUGCCGCGUGUGUGAAGAAGGCCUUCGGGUUGUAAAGCACUUUUGUCCGGAAAGAAAUGGCUCUGGUUAAUACCUGGGGUCGAUGACGGUACCGGAAGAAUAAGCACCGGCUAACUACGUGCCAGCCGCCGCAGUAA